CAUAUACGCUACCGGCAUCUGCCCAGGUAAUGCUACUGCUCCGGUGACGAUGUCCGAUCAAAGAGACACCAUCUGCCCAGGGAAAGUGUUUGCACCUUGGAAUUGAUGAUUGUAGACAAGAUGUUGGUAAAACAGAUAUCAAUUCAAGAUUUGCUUCCAAAGGACCAAUACAUAAAUAUUACUUAAUAACAUAGCGAUGAGCAGCGAAGUCGAUCUCAGAUAUAUCCACUGUUUUGUUGAACCUAAACUGCCCAAGAUCUUUAUAUGAUUUGAGUUUGGAGCCUUCAAUGACCACUGUGGAAUUUAAGAUGAUGUCAAGAAUUAACAACUAGUGCUUAGCUACAUAUUCCUCCCAUCCUUUCCCUCCAAGAUAUUAUCCCUUCUUCUCACAAACGGCAGUGACCGGUGAGGCUCUUCAAUGAAUUCUUUUUUUGGGCGACUUAAAUAAGGGAUAUCAAUGUCUCAGACUCCUCCAUUCUUGGAUAUCCAAGACUGCAUUUGGUGUUCCAAACAAUUCACACUUUGGCACCCCAAGAUUUGAUUCCUAUUCCUUUGGCCAACCAGCAGUAUCCAGGUCAGGGAGCAAAGGUUUACUUUAGUGUCCGUUUUCUCAAGUAUUGGAGCAGAUGAUAUAAGAUUAUAUAAUGUUCAGUGUGCAUUACUAUAUGCUCUACAUUGAUCUGAAGUCUAUGUUGCUUUUUGUUAAAUAUUAGUACCAAGUACUAUUUGUUCUUAUUUUAUAUUGUUGGAUAUCCUAAGUGUUUAAUCUAAGAUCAAAUUUGCAAACCUGGAAACGAAAGUACAACACCUUUGCUCAAGAGCUCUGGUUUUGGAAAGUCUGCAUUUGGUAUUAAUCGGAAAGGAAAGUAGAAUAGCAUCAUACAUUGCAACUCCAGAGCUAGAUAGCACCAGACCCGGCAGUGCAAACAUUCAAUCCAUUUGUGGAAUGCAGACUUAUCAAGAUAAAAGCCAGGAAGAGUUGAGGUUUGAGGACUACCAGUUAGGUGAUAAGGGUAUCCUUUACUGUUCUCAUAUAUUAACAACAUACUUUUUAAUUUCCCCACUUCUGUGCAUUCUUGAUAACUGAAUCUGGGCAUGUUCCUCUCUUCUUUUUCUUUUUUGGUUCUAUGUUUAUGCUUCUUUGUGGGUCUCAUGUGUUGGUUCUAGUUAGUUGAUAUAUAGUUUAUGUGGUUUUAUUUAUCCUUCUCCAUAUCCAUGAUAUAUACUUGGGAACAAACAUGAGGAUUUGUUUCAAUAAAUUGAGAACACUUUUUACUUUCAGCAAUUUCCCAUGUUUAUUAUCGCGAAGAGUUCUUGGUAUUAUACUCUCUCCUUUUCAAUUUGUUUUUCUGGUUUUGAAUUGCUGCGGAGUUUAGGAAAGUAAGGAAUACUUUUGAAAUUUUGUGGUCUUGGACGAAAGAUAUAUAGCAUAUACUGAAAUGUCUUUUAAUCUUUUGGUCUUAAUCGUGCCAUGUGAAAGUUGGAAUUAUAGAGUUUCCAAAACAGGAUAGAAGCAUUCUUGUUUAAACGAACUAAAAAGAAAAGUUAGACAAACAAAUUAAAACGGAAGAGGUACGUAGACAAUCAUAAAUGACCAGGUGGACAGAUAGAUAGUGUGCAUUCAUAUUACUCUGGAAUACUAGUAUUCUUCUUAUUAAACUGCCCUUUGAAAAAAACUAUCCUUAGACUUCUAACAAUAAAAGUUUUAAAGCUUGGUGCAAUCUUUCGAAGUCCAAGUAACUUAAUUAAAAAUUUGACAACCUGUUGUCACGAUAUUUAUUCAUCUUAUGUGGAUUCAGAUUCUGCUUCUUCAAAUAUGUUAGUGCUACCUUUAUAUGUACACAUCUUCCUGUAAUUAAGUUGAUUAAACGAAUUCUUUGGCUCUAUCCAAGUAGACUCUGAAGAAAGACCACUUAAGCUAUUGCAUGGGAAUGAUCUACAGAUACUCUUUGAAUAUGUUAUUCCCAUGAUUUCUCUGCCAAUUGGAUUAAGUACAGCUUUCUUUCUUUCCUGUGGUCCAGGUGAGGAUUGACAUAUAUAGAUGAUGCACUUAAUACUGCCAAUUUAAUGUAAGGAGAGAUCAUAUUUACUUUUCUAGAGCAGCGAGGCGGUUUUGGAAUUGGUUGAAAAGCUAAAUCUGCUCUUUGUGAAAGUAGCUAUGCACAUUGAGCUGUGUAUUCUUCUCCAUAAAUGGACAUUAGCCUUUAAUGCAGCACCGAAUGCUACAUCUGGUCAAACACAAAACAUAUACUGACUUCAAGGAAGUUUUAUGUUGUGCUUGAUUGGUGGGAAAUCACAGCUGUUAUCUUCUUCUUAGUUGGGAAAAACUUGGUCCAUAUAGUUUUGCUUCUUAUUCAACCAAUGAUCUAAAUGAAACUUACAAGAUGACUGAUUUAUUACUCCAAAAUAGUGUUUUUAGUUUACACUUUUA